rnacentral:rRNA from 1 species
GAUCCUGGCUCAGGAUGAACGCUAGCUACAGGCUUAACACAUGCAAGUCGAGGGGCAGCGGGAUUGUAAGUCUUGCUUCAAUUGCCGGCGACCGGCGCACGGGUGAGUAACGCGUAUCCAACCGUUCCGUACACUCAGGGAUAGCCUUUCGAAAGAAAGAUUAAUACCUGAUGGUAUCUUAAGCACACAUGUAAUUAAGAUUAAAGAUUUUAUCGGUGUACGAUGGGGAUGCGUUCCAUUAGGUAGUAGG